UAAUAAGUGUUUUAUGGCACUUUUUAAAUCCAUAUCCACCUUGUGUGCAAUGUCAGUCGAUCUUCUUAUUUGAGGAUCGACCAAACAUCAACCUUUAUUUUUUAACUCUUUGUCUGAAAAAUAUUAUGAAUAAACAAUUCAAAAUA
rnacentral:misc_RNA from 1 species